UACAGAACCUUCCUUUAAGUGGGGGAUAGCCCGGAGAAAUCCGGAUUAAUACCCCGUAACAUUGUGUGGUGGCAUCAUCAUAUAAUUAUAGAUUUAUCGCUUAGAGAUGGCUGUGCGGCUGAUUAGGUAGUUGGUGAGGGUAACGGCCCACCAAGCCAGCGAUCAGUAACUGGUGUGAGAGCACGACCAGUCACACGGGCACUGAGACACGGGCCCG
rnacentral:rRNA from 1 species